CUCUCUCUCUGUAGAUGAUGAAGCUUUCCUGAUCUUUGCUAACCGUUACUAUCUGAGGAAACUCAAUCUCGAUGGCUCCAACUACACAUUGUUAAAGCAGGGACUGAACAACGCAGUGGCUUUGGAUUUCAAUCAUGAGGAGAAGCACAUCUACUGGACAGAUGUCACCACACAGGGAAGCAUGAUUCGGAGGAUGCAUCUCAACGGGAGCAACGUCGAGGUCCUCCAUCGCACGGGGCUCAGUAAUCCUGAUGGACUGGCCGUGGACUGGGUCGGUGGGAACCUGUACUGGUGUGACAAGGGGAGAGAUACCAUCGAAGUGUCGAAACUGAGUGGGGACUAUCGCACAGUACUGGUAAAUUCAGGGCUGAGGGAGCCCCGCGCUCUCGCUGUGGAUGUGAGGA